GACAGAGGUCCCGAGCGUUAGGCGGAAUCACUGGGCUUAAAGCGUGUGUAGGCGGAUUUGUAAGUACCUUGUGAAAUCCCACGGCUCAACCGUGGAACUGCUUGGUAUACUGCUUAUCUUGGGCCAUCUAGGGGCUACCGGAACAAGUGGUGGAGCGGUGAAAUGCGUAGAUAUCACUUGGAACGCCAAUGGUGAAAACAGGUAGCUGGGGAUGUGCCGACGCUGAGACACGAAAGACCAGGGGAGCGAACGGG
rnacentral:rRNA from 1 species